AAUUUUCUUAAAUAAAGAGGUUGGUAGUUUAGUUGGGGCGACCGCGGGA
rnacentral:rRNA from 1 species